GAAGUGCAUUGGCCCAAGUGAAAGAUUCUUGUUGAAUGGCAGAAAUGCCUUCCAGAAGAACUGCAUGGAGAGUCACUACCUUGACCUUCCCAUCAUGCUUCAGGCACAGACUCAAGUUGUACAGAGUGAUCCUCAGUAGGACAGAAGCUGCCAAUUAUCCUUGGCUCCUACUUUCUACGGAAGAGGUCUAUACAUAUAGGAACUUUAUAGGAUCCCAACUGGAACAAACAAACGAACUACAAAUAGGCUAACCUCAACUAUACUUAGGACCUCCUACUAGUGUGGUAUGAAAUGGUCACACAGAAGGUGGUUUUGGUGAGGGCAAAACUUCCUGCCAGCCUGAUAUCUAACUGUGCCGCUGUGGGAAGAGGAGUGCACAGCGAAAGAAAAGGCGCCCCGGAGCACCCUCGCUUCUACAGCAGAAUUCAUACAGUAGCAGGGACUAAAAACCAAUUGGCAAGACAUGGAUUGUAAGAUCAGCUCAGAAGAGAGAGAGGGUCGCUGAUUUGCAUCUUCAGUCUUCAUAAACAAAACAAGUCACCUUCGCCUUUCUGGAACUUCUCCAUGUGCUGACAUAGCAGCUCACCUGGUGACAGCCUGCAGCAGAGUUGAAGGCCAAGGGGGGGAACUAAGCAAUCUGGACCUAGAAGAAACAAUGCUGUGAGCAGCAGAGCAUGCUGGGGGCUGAGAGCCCAUUUUAGUUUUAAACUAUUAUAAAAAGGAAGUCCCAUUUUCCCAGUUUUAACUUUGAAAACUCACAUUUUUCUAUGUUGUCAAACUUCAGUAAAUAACACUUUCAAGUGUUGAA
ensembl:lincRNA Gm13874 predicted gene 13874